rnacentral:rRNA from 1 species
GUCUGGCGGCAGUAGCGCGGUGGUCCCACCUGACCCCAUGCCGAACUCAGAAGUGAAACGCCGUAGCGCCGAUGGUAGUGUGGGGUCUCCCCAUGCGAGAGUAGGGAACUGCCAGACA